rnacentral:rRNA from 1 species
CCUACGUGGUGCUGCAGUGGGGAAUAUUGGACAAUGGGCGAAAGCCUGAUCCAGCCAUGCCGCGUGUGUGAAGAAGGCCUUCGGGUUGUAAAGCACUUUCAGUGGGGAAGAAAGCCUUGGGGCUAAUACCCUCGAGGAAGGACAUCACCCACAGAAGAAGCACCGGCUAACUCCGUGCCAGCAGCCGCGGUAAUACGGAGGGUGCGAGCGUUAAUCGGAAUUACUGGGCGUAAAGCGCGCGUAGGCGGUCUGAUAAGCCGGUUGUGAAAGCCCCGGGCUCAACCUGGGAACGGCAUCCGGAACUGUCAGGCUAGAGUGCAGGAGAGGAAGGUAGAAUUCCCGGUGUAGCGGUGAAAUGCGUAGAGAUCGGGAGGAAUACCAGUGGCGAAGGCGGCCUUCUGGACUGACACUGACGCUGAGGUGCGAAAGCGUGGGUAGCAAACAGGAUUAGAUCCCGAGUAGUC